AUACGUAGGUGGCAAGCGUUAUCCGGAUUUAUUGGGCGUAAAGCGAGCGCAGGCGGUUUUUUAAGUCUGAUGUGAAAGCCUCGGCUUAACCGAGAAGGGCAUCGGAAACUGGGAGACUUGAGUGCAGAAGAGGAGAGUGGAACUCCAUGUGUAGCGGUGAAAUGCGUAGAUAUAUGGAAGAACACCAGUGGCGAAGGCGGCUGUCUGGUCUGUAACUGACGCUGAGGCUCGAAAGAUGGGUAGC
rnacentral:rRNA from 1 species